CUUCUCGUCCUCUUACUAAGUUAUCCCACCCCUUCAACGACUUAAAAAUAUCUAAAUACUUAUACAAGUCAAAGUGAUGUUGUGGUUGUGAACUCCAUUGUAAUUUAUGAUUAUCCUACAGUAGACUUUGCGAUUUAAAUACAGGCAAAUAGGUAGGCAACUAUGGCCAUUCAAGUUAACAGGCGACAUACUUGUUGAUGUUGAGUUGGCACUUCGCUUUUGAUUUGAAUUGUUUUUGUAUGUUUUUGUCAUUGUUAAACGUUACAGAACAUAUACUCACACUUUCCUUUACCCCAGAUUGUAUGUCUAUGUUGUUUUAAUAAGAAACGAUUUGACUUGGUUGAGAAAUCAUAGCGUAACCAUCGGGUUUGUUAUUGUGCUUAUUUGUGGGGACGGUGGUUAAAUCACUAUAUAAAUCAAAGUACUUCGUUUUCUGUAUGGAUCAUUAUAACAUUUUACAUCAUUUGUACGUUAUGUGCAGGAUAACAAAGGAGAGUGAAGGUUACGUAUGUAACCACGGUUAUGUGAGCUAUAUGGAUCACUCCAAUAUAUUGGUAUCACUCCACAUCCAAAGUGAGGAUUUACAGAUUCACUCCCGUGUACACCUGUGUCACAGGCUGGGUUCCACCCCUAUAUAUAGACCCCAUAACCGCGACACUAGCACCGUAGAGGAUUGGAGUGUGUUUUGUUAACUUCGUUAUGUUUCACUAUAUUGGAUCACUCCAAUAUAUUGGUAUACCCAUACCAGAUUUAGUCGGUGCUAGAGGGACCUGGCCAGACAACCAACCGCAGAGGGAGAUGCCACAUUAUCCGAUAGUACCUUGCAAAGAUGCAAGAGGAAGCCCAGCGGGCCGUAGCACAGAUAUCAGCGAGGGGCACUCCUCUCAGUAGAGCCCAGGAUGCAGCCACACCUCAUGUUGAAUGUGCCACCACAGAUCCCAGCACUGGCCUGCCAGCCUGGCGGUAUGCUGUCGUAUUCGUGUCCACGAUCCAGUGAGAGAGCCUCUGCUUGAUAGCCCACCCCCCAGGACUCUUCUCACCAUAGCAGACAAAAAUCCGGUCUGUUCUCACUGACCGUGUCCCCUCCAAAUAGGUGGCCAGUGCCCACACAGAACACAGCAUGCUGGAGGGAGGCCCAGACUCCCCCGCCACUGCCGGGGGGUCGUAAGCAGACAGGAUAAAAGGGAUGUUCACAUGCCUGUCUGACAAAACCUUUGGGAGGAAUGAUGGGUUGGGGCGGAGAGAUAUACUCCUCCCACCUGGGUCCAUCCAGUAGCACUCAGAACUGAAAAAGCAUGGAGCUGCUCACCCUCUUCAUGGAAGUAAUAGCUACUAAGAAAACCACCUUCAUAGAGAGGUGUUUCGGGAGGCAGACUCCCAACGGUUCAAAUCCCAGCUCACCAUUGAGCGGGUCCUAGCUGGACGCAGGUGACAAACCCCCUUCAUAAACCUGGAGACCAAGGGAUGGCCCCCACUGGCCUGUCCAUUCACCCCACAUGGCAGGCAGAUAUGGCAGCCAAAUACCCUCUCAGUGCAGAGGCUGCUAAGCACUCAUCCAUGCGAGACUGCAGGUAUUGGAGGACAAACUGCACCCUGCAUGACUUGGCACAACUUCAAUACCAGUGCACCAAGAGCAGAACAACCACCAACGCAACUGAUAUGCCGCGGUUGUAGCUGGUCACCUUGCGCUCUGCAAGGUGUUCCUUACACCCUCCUGUAGUCCUAACAUCAACCAUUGGUGCUGUUCAGUUGCCAAGCCCACAGACUGAGGUGUUGCGAUCUCGGAUGCCACAGUAUUCCCCCGGACUGAAACAGCAGGUCGGGUCUCAGGGGCAGUUGCCAAGGUGUCCCAGACAACAGGGACAGGAGAAAGCUGAACCAGGGUCGUCUGGGCCAGUAUGGGGCCACCAGCAGCAGACGAUGCUCCGCCAUCCUGGUCCUGACCAGCACAGCCUGGAUCAGGGGAAAAGGGGGAGAAUGUGUAAGCUCCAGCCCUGGCCAAUCGUGAGCCAGAGCAUCCAAGCCUAGAGGCCCUGGUGGCUCCGACAUGGAGUACCACAGGCGGCAGUGUGUAUUGCCCAGGGAGACAAACGGGUCCAUCUGCGUCCUCCCAAACUUGUCCCACAGGUGCUGCACCACCUGGGGAUGUAGGCUCCAGUCCCAAGGUGGCAGGUCUCCACAACAUAAGUGGAGUAGAACCCACCUAGCCGUUCUGAUGUCUCGAUCCUGCGGAUUGCACCCAUUUUCCAGGAGUGAGGAAAUCUCCAGCCGCAGGGUUUUCUUCAGGUGGUCAGCCACCGUGGUGACACGAAGGCCCCUGAAGGACGGGGGCCGGCACCGGAAUUGGAGUCGGUACCCCUCGAGCAAUGUGGACAACAUCCAGGGGGACUGCACACCCUCCUCCCACUUUGAGACCGGGAGAAGCAGCCGGGGAAGGGUCUGUCAAGGGGUCCUGCUGGGGCCCGCCUCUCCUCUGGUGCCCCGAGCACCUGGGUCUCCCAGGCACGUCCCUAUGAGGGUGACGGUUGACACCAUCACACCUGUCACAAAGGGAAGCCAUAAGCUCAGCUAAGCCAACAAGGCCACAUAGCCGGGGUCCGACACCCUGGGAGAGCUUAUGUCGUGACCCGCUUGGAGGAAUAGGAACCUGGUGAGGGAUAAAUGACCCAGUACCUCUGAAAGAAAUGGGGAAGACCCUUGUGGGAAAAACAGGCUGUUGCUUCACCUCACGCUGUGCCCCUCCCCCCUGUCAUCUCUUAGCAUGAGGCGAUGGGGCAGGAGAGGGACCCCACCAUCGUUCGGGUGCAGGUGGGUGGCGACGGUCCAUCUGCCUUGGACCUGGGGCCUGAGGAGGCGGCAUGAACCGUCUCAGGGUCUCCCGGUCCCUACGAACCUUAAUGGUCUGCUCUAGAAUGUCAUUAACCCCUGGGCCAAACGUCAGCCCUGGGGUGAUGGGGUGAGUGGCAAAUGUGCUCUGGAGAGCAGCUGGCAGACGGGAUUGGACCAGCCAGAGAUGCCACCAGGAGGUAACCACCAGCACCAUGGCCCGUCCGUUGGUGCGGGCCACAUCCCUCUGGAGCAGGGAAAGCAGGCGAGACACAUACAUCACUUCCCGGAGGAGCUCCUAUGUGCCCUCCUGCAGCCGGGAAAACAGAGUCUGCAGGUAGGCCUUUCAUCAGCAUGGCUGCGUUGGUAAGGCGGCCAAGAGAGCAGAGGGACCCAUAUGUGGCUUUCAAGUCUGCAUCAAAGACUCUGGGGGGAUCCCGCCUUCAGUCGCGGGUUCCGCCCUGGCAGUGGCCCAGCUCUCCUGCAAGGCUUUGCGGAACUCAGCAGAGAUGGGGACGGAUGGAGAGUCAUCACUGUCCACCAGUUGAUGUCUAGUGCAGUGGCUACCCAUGUGAGUAGGCUCCUCAUAGCCUCUCGAGCCGCUGGGGGCGAUGAAACCCCGCUGGUGGCGUCUGAUGGCCUGUCAGCUUGGUAGCCCAGCUCACAGUGGUGAACAGUGCCAGCAUCUUCCCCCAGGAACAUCACUGGCCAACAGGGAACAGCUGUUGUUGCCAUCGAAGCUAUCAACCUCCUGAUGCAGGGCAUGCGCCCUCUGUUCAAGGUGGUCCCAGCGGUCCGACUCAUGGCCCAGUCCAGGACUGGCAACAGAUGGGUUCUGCCUGCGAUGGCUCCGGCCACACUUCCUGGGAGGGGUACUGGGCCCAAUAGAGGGACUAACAGCUCGCUGCUGCACCACUCCUGAGGGAGGGAGCUCGUCCCCAGCCUGAGCCCAAGCCUGGCCGACCCACUCGGGCAUGGCCUCCAAUCGCGCAAUGUGCAGGCGUUCUGAGAAAACCACACAAACAGGCAUCCAGUAGGGCGCUCCACCGCCCUCUCCGCGUGGCUCAAACCCAGACAGUGCAUACACGAGGUAUGCGGAUCCCCAGGGGGAUGACACCUGGGAGAGCCAUGUCGUGACCCGCUUGGAGGAAUAGGAACCCGGUGAGGGAUAAAUGACCCAGUACCUCUGCAAACACAGGGGAAGAACCCUGUGGGAAAAACAGGCAGACAAAAAAACAGCAACCAGAUGCAGUAGUGCCAGGUAUGAUUCUGCCCUUUGAGUCUGAGUUCUCUCCUGAGCUCAAACCGGACCCUGUGAGAACUGGCGAGGAGAUCCCAGUGAUCAUUACUGCUGUAGAGGAGAGACUGGGAGCUGUGGUGGCUGCCAUGAACAGUGUCUACCAGAACAACAAAGCCAACAUCGUGUUCAACAUUGUGACCAUGAACGACACUGUUUAUCACCUCAUGAUGUGGAUGAGUAAAACUCAGCUUAACAAUGUCAAGCACAAGAUCAUCAUAUUUGAGCCCAAGCUUCUCAAUGGGAAGAUUACCAAAGAUCCCCAGGGGACAUCCAAGACCUUUUUGACACAAGCCUAAAGUCAGGGCAUGCAGCUGCAUUGUCAGAUGACAGUGAUUCUGCAUCCACAAAG